CCUACGGGAGACAGCAGUGAGGAAUAUUGGUCAAUGGACGAGAGUCUGAACCAGCCAAGUCGCGUGAAGGAUGACUGCCCUAUGGGUUGUAAACCUCUUUUAUCUGGGAAUAAAACGUUCCACGUGUGGGAUUUUGUAUGUACCAUAUGAAAAAGCAUCGGCUAACUCCGUGCCAGCAGCCGCGGUAAUACGGAGGAUCCGAGCGUUAUCCGGAUUUAUUGGGUGUAAAGGGAGCGUAGGUGGAUUGUUAAGUCAGUUGUGAAAGUUUGCGGCUCAACCGUAAAAUUGCAGUUGAAACUGGCAGUCUUGAGUACGGUAGAGGUAGGCGGAAUGCGUGGUGUAGCAGUGAAAUGCUUAGAUAUCACGAAGAACUCCGAUUGCGAAGGCAGCUCACUGGACUGCAACUGACACUGAGGCACGAAAGUGUGGGUAUCAAACAGGAUUAGAUACCCUAGUAGUC
rnacentral:rRNA from 1 species